ACUGUGGUGGUGUAAUGGUUAGCAUUUCUGCCUAGCAAGCGGAAGGACCCGGGUUGGAGUCCCGGCCGUAGCA